AGUUUUCAACCUGCUGUGUGGAUUCCCGUCUACAGGCCAUUACGUUUGCACGUUUCAACGGGCCUACUUCACAUCCAGAUGAAUCCAUGAAAAAGAAGGCUGAUCCGAAGUAAAUCGAAGCUUUUGAUUACAAGACACAGACGACCUGGAGGAAAACGAGCCUGGCUGAAAGUAAUUUGCUGCAGUGCAUCAUCAUAUUUUGCUGAAGGGAUGAAAAGAACGACAUCAGAUUGUCAUAAAGAGUCACUUGGAUAUCGUGCAACUACAUCGAUCGUUAUAUUCGUGGUGCCCUAUCCUCUGCAUCGUCCUCUACACAUUUUGUAGGGCGACCCACGAACACACAUCGGCCCUGUUUCCAGUCGGCUGAACAUGGGACCCUUCUGAUCCCUUUGACUUGCACGACUGUACGCGAUUGCUCCCGCGGUCACGGUUAAUGUAUAGACUCCCCCCCCCCUCUUUUUUUUUUUUUUUUUUAAUAUGGAAGUGUACCAGGAGGCAGCGAGGCCAUCA